rnacentral:lncRNA from 1 species
UAGGGAGGCCUGGCGUGCUGUGGUCCAUGGGGUCGCAAAGUGUCAGACACGAUUGAGUGACCGAACUGAACCGAGCAUAAUCUACCUGAAGACGUGGCACAGCUAGAACUAAUGAAGCUCUAACAGGAGCACAGAAGAGUCUAGGACAGAAAUAAGUAUUCUUUUUGGACCACUUGCUUCUUAGACUGCAGAAAGCCAACCUCAGAAGAGCUUGAGCCCAAGGCGCUGCAGAGAUCAUUUUCAAAGAGAGCCAUCGAAUGUCACCGUGCUGUGCAACAGGGGAGCUAGACGCGGAAGGUCAGGGAAGAAGGCUGACGGAGGGACCAGGGAGAGGAGAGGAAGACCAGCGGACAGCCGGCACUCCACACCCCGCAAGGACCACGGUCUGGCCCUGACGAUGAAUCUUCGGCAGAGAGGAAAUUCAGCACUGGAGGGAGGACCCAUAACUGUCGUAACUCACUGCUUCCUGCGUGUUUAUAGAACUGGGUUAUUAUACAGGCUGU